rnacentral:rRNA from 1 species
GGACUACUGGGGUAUCUAAUCCUUAUCGCUCCCCACGCUUUCGUCCUAGCAGUGUCAGGUGGCACCCAGAAGCCUGCCUACGCUAUUGGUGUUCCAAACGAUAUCAACGCAUUUCACUACUACACCGUUUGUUCCAGCUUCCUCUUUGCCCCUCUAGUUUUGCAGUUUCAAAAGACAGAUUCCGAGUUAAGCUCGGAGAUUUCACUUCUGACUUGCAAAACCACCUGUCGGUACGCUUUACGCCCAAUGAUUCCGGAUAACGCUUGAGGUCUCUGUAUUACCGCGGCUGCUGGCAC